rnacentral:rRNA from 4 species
UUAAGCGACUAAGCGUACACGGUGGAUGCCCUGGCAGUCAGAGGCGAUGAAGGACGUGCUAAUCUGCGAUAAGCGUCGGUGAGGUGAUAUGAACCGUUAUAACCGGCGAUUUCCGAAUGGGGAAACCCAGUGUGUUUCGACACACUAUCAUUAACUGAAUCCAUAGGUUAAUGAGGCGAACCGGGGGAACUGAAACAUCUAAGUACCCCGAGGAAAAGAAAUCAACCGAGAUUCCCCCAGUAGCGGCGAGCGAACGGGGAGGAGCCCAGAGCCUGAAUCAGUGUGUGUGUUAGUGGAAGCGUCUGGAAAGGCGCGCGAUACAGGGUGACAGCCCCGUACACAAAAAUGCACAUAUUGUGAGCUCGAUGAGUAGGGCGGGACACGUGGUAUCCUGUCUGAAUAUGGGGGGACCAUCCUCCAAGGCUAAAUACUCCUGACUGACCGAUAGUGAACCAGUACCGUGAGGGAAAGGCGAAAAGAACCCCGGCGAGGGGAGUGAAAAAGAACCUGAAACCGUGUACGUACAAGCAGUGGGAGCCUCUUAAUGGGGUGACUGCGUACCUUUUGUAUAAUGGGUCAGCGACUUAUAUUCUGUAGCAAGGUUAACCGAAUAGGGGAGCCGAAGGGAAACCGAGUCUUAACUGGGCGUUAAGUUGCAGGGUAUAGACCCGAAACCCGGUGAUCUAGCCAUGGGCAGGUUGAAGGUUGGGUAACACUAACUGGAGGACCGAACCGACUAAUGUUGAAAAAUUAGCGGAUGACUUGUGGCUGGGGGUGAAAGGCCAAUCAAACCGGGAGAUAGCUGGUUCUCCCCGAAAGCUAUUUAGGUAGCGCCUCGUGAAUUCAUCUCCGGGGGUAGAGCACUGUUUCGGCAAGGGGGUCAUCCCGACUUACCAACCCGAUGCAAACUGCGAAUACCGGAGAAUGUUAUCACGGGAGACACACGGCGGGUGCUAACGUCCGUCGUGAAGAGGGAAACAACCCAGACCGCCAGCUAAGGUCCCAAAGUCAUGGUUAAGUGGGAAACGAUGUGGGAAGGCCCAGACAGCCAGGAUGUUGGCUUAGAAGCAGCCAUCAUUUAAAGAAAGCGUAAUAGCUCACUGGUCGAGUCGGCCUGCGCGGAAGAUGUAACGGGGCUAAACCAUGCACCGAAGCUGCGGCAGCGACGCUUAUGCGUUGUUGGGUAGGGGAGCGUUCUGUAAGCCUGUGAAGGUGUGCUGUGAGGCAUGCUGGAGGUAUCAGAAGUGCGAAUGCUGACAUAAGUAACGAUAAAGCGGGUGAAAAGCCCGCUCGCCGGAAGACCAAGGGUUCCUGUCCAACGUUAAUCGGGGCAGGGUGAGUCGACCCCUAAGGCGAGGCCGAAAGGCGUAGUCGAUGGGAAACAGGUUAAUAUUCCUGUACUUGGUGUUACUGCGAAGGGGGGACGGAGAAGGCUAUGUUGGCCGGGCGACGGUUGUCCCGGUUUAAGCGUGUAGGCUGGUUUUCCAGGCAAAUCCGGAAAACCAAGGCUGAGGCGUGAUGACGAGGCACUACGGUGCUGAAGCAACAAAUGCCCUGCUUCCAGGAAAAGCCUCUAAGCAUCAGGUAACAUCAAAUCGUACCCCAAACCGACACAGGUGGUCAGGUAGAGAAUACCAAGGCGCUUGAGAGAACUCGGGUGAAGGAACUAGGCAAAAUGGUGCCGUAACUUCGGGAGAAGGCACGCUGAUAUGUAGGUGAAGCGACUUGCUCGUGGAGCUGAAAUCAGUCGAAGAUACCAGCUGGCUGCAACUGUUUAUUAAAAACACAGCACUGUGCAAACACGAAAGUGGACGUAUACGGUGUGACGCCUGCCCGGUGCCGGAAGGUUAAUUGAUGGGGUUAGCGGUAACGCGAAGCUCUUGAUCGAAGCCCCGGUAAACGGCGGCCGUAACUAUAACGGUCCUAAGGUAGCGAAAUUCCUUGUCGGGUAAGUUCCGACCUGCACGAAUGGCGUAAUGAUGGCCAGGCUGUCUCCACCCGAGACUCAGUGAAAUUGAACUCGCUGUGAAGAUGCAGUGUACCCGCGGCAAGACGGAAAGACCCCGUGAACCUUUACUAUAGCUUGACACUGAACAUUGAGCCUUGAUGUGUAGGAUAGGUGGGAGGCUUUGAAGUGUGGACGCCAGUCUGCAUGGAGCCGACCUUGAAAUACCACCCUUUAAUGUUUGAUGUUCUAACGUGGGCCCCUAAUCGGGGUUGCGGACAGUGUCUGGUGGGUAGUUUGACUGGGGCGGUCUCCUCCUAAAGAGUAACGGAGGAGCACGAAGGUUGGCUAAUCCUGGUCGGACAUCAGGAGGUUAGUGCAAUGGCAUAAGCCAGCUUGACUGCGAGCGUGACGGCGCGAGCAGGUGCGAAAGCAGGUCAUAGUGAUCCGGUGGUUCUGAAUGGAAGGGCCAUCGCUCAACGGAUAAAAGGUACUCCGGGGAUAACAGGCUGAUACCGCCCAAGAGUUCAUAUCGACGGCGGUGUUUGGCACCUCGAUGUCGGCUCAUCACAUCCUGGGGCUGAAGUAGGUCCCAAGGGUAUGGCUGUUCGCCAUUUAAAGUGGUACGCGAGCUGGGUUUAGAACGUCGUGAGACAGUUCGGUCCCUAUCUGCCGUGGGCGCUGGAGAACUGAGGGGGGCUGCUCCUAGUACGAGAGGACCGGAGUGGACGCAUCACUGGUGUUCGGGUUGUCAUGCCAAUGGCACUGCCCGGUAGCUAAAUGCGGAAGAGAUAAGUGCUGAAAGCAUCUAAGCACGAAACUUGCCCCGAGAUGAGUUCUCCCUGAGACUUAGAGUCUCCUGAAGGAACGUUGAAGACGACGACGUUGAUAGGCCGGGUGUGUAAGCGCAGCGAUGCGUUGAGCUAACCGGUACUAAUGAACCGUGAGGCUUAACCUU